UACGGGGGGGGCUAGCGUUGUUCGGAAUUACUGGGCGUAAAGGGCUCGUAGGCGGCCAACUAAGUCGGAUGUGAAAUCCCCAGGCUUAACCUGGGAACUGCAUCCGAUACUGGAUGGCUUGAAUCCGGGAGAGGGAUGCAGAAUUCCAGGUGUAGCGGUGAAAUGCGUAGAUAUCUGGAGGAAUACCGGUGGCGAAGGCGGCACCCUGGACCGGCAUUGACGCUGAGACGCGAAAGCGUGGGGAGCAAACAGG
rnacentral:rRNA from 1 species